rnacentral:sRNA from 1 species
CAUGCCCCUUAUACGCUGGGCUACACACGUGCUACAAUGGGUAGAACAGAGAGUUGCAAAGCCGUGAGGUGGAGCUAAUCUCAGAAAACUAUUCUUAGUUCGGAUUGUACUCUGCAACUCGAGUACAUGAAGUUGGAAUCGCUAGUAAUCGCGAAUCAGCAAUGUCGCGGUGAAUACGUUCUCGGGUCUUGUACACACCGCCCGUCACACCACGAGAGUUGGUUGCACCUGAAGUAGCAGGCCUAACCGUAAGGAGGGAUGCUCCGAGGGUGUGAUUAGCGAUUGGGGUGAAGUCGUAACAAGGUAUCCGUACGGGAACGUGCGGAUGGAUCACCUCCUUUCUAAGGAGUAUAAGUCUUUCUCUAUUCUAUUGGUAAUGUUCUUUACAUUACUUCUGAACAUUGGAAACUAUAUAGUAGAACAAACAAGAAAAAAAUUAACUCUAACAAUUUCUUAGAGUUAGCUGUCAAAAAAUAGAUUAAAAUAAUUAAGGGCACACAAAGGAUGCCUAGGUAGUAAGAGCCGAUAAAGGACGUGGUAAGCUGCGAUAAGCCUAG